AGAUGUGUGGGCAAUCUGGCUGAGACAUCUGUCACCCCAUUGAUCACCAGGGUUGAUUUGGCUGACGUGGCUGACUAGGCAGAUGUCCCCCUGUCUCUUAUACACAUCUAGAUGUGUAUAAGAGACAGCUCCAAACACAGAGCACCAGUCUUCAGGAAGGGUGGAAUAGCUGUUCUCCCCUUCUAGAAACUCCAAACAAGCUCUCAAGAAAACAAUCAAGUGGUAAAAAAAUGUUUGAAACAGUUUGGGUUUUUACAACUAUGGACAAAGUAAGGAGAGAUGUUAACUCUGACU
rnacentral:snRNA from 1 species